CAGACAAUCCCCCCCAACACACAAAUCAAGACCCAAGGGAUGAACCCUAACUAGAAUGGAUUGGGAAUUCGAAGCCACAAGACCCGAGAUGAAGAGGUGCAACGCUGCAAGAAGGAAGCCAUCUUCGCCUAAUAUUGAUCAUCGAGAGGGAACAACACUUAGUAAAGCACAUCGCUAGGCCAUGCAUGGUAACUUUGCUUGAACUAAGAGACCAUUAGCACCCAAGGCAUCAAACACCCAUCAAGGCUCCAACAAAGUAGAGGAAGCAUAGGACUAUUGAAGCAAGAAUCGCAAAACCCAUGGGAGAAGAAAGCAAUAAAGAAAGAGAGAGAGCUCACAUGGCUUCUCAUUCUUUUUUAGCCGAAGAGGGAGGCAGGACAAGCCGCUAACUCUUAAACCCUCGGGAUCUCUCUUCCUUAUAACUAGUAAAUGAAGCUACAUUUCCCAGUGAUUCGAAGACAAAAUAAAGAAGCAACAUCACAGAUCCAUCAUGCAACCACCCUUUCUUUGAAGCGCAAAUCAGUGAACUAAAACCAAAGACCAAAAUCCUAUGCACAACCUUCCCUCCGAAAGAAAAGGAUAAAACCCACAUACUGCAGGCAAGGAGGAGCCUCCCUUGCCUAGCUAGGGAAAGGGGAACUACUGAU
rnacentral:misc_RNA from 1 species